UACGGAGGUGGCAAGCGUUGCUCGGAAUCACUGGGCGUAAAGGGCGCGUAGGCGGGGAGGUAAGUCGGGUGUGAAAUCCCUCGGCCCAACUGAGGAACUGCGCCCGAGACUGCUUCUCUUGAGUCCCGGAGAGGAAGAUGGAAUUCCCGGUGUAGCGGUGAAAUGUGUAGAGAUCGGGAGGAACACCGGUGGCGAAGGCGGCCCUCUGGACGGUGACUGACGCUGAGACGCGAAAGCGUGGGGAGCAAACAGG
rnacentral:rRNA from 1 species